UUACACCUUAUUUCGCAGAGUUAACCUUAUUUUAAAGGGGUAAAUACAAAGAAAGGAAGGAAAGCAGCAUAUUGGUUAAAAAAGUACAGAUUCUAGAACCAGACUGGGCUAGAAUUCCACCUCCCCCACUAAAUAGCUAUAUGGCUUUGAGCAAUAUUCUUUUUAGUGCCUCAGUUCCCCAUCCAUCAGGGGAGAAUUGUAGUUAUGCCCUUAUAAGGUUGUUGUAUUGGAUUAAAUGAGUUAACACUGAAUAAUUAAAGAAUUGAGAACAGUGCCUGGCACAAAGUAACAUGACUUUGUGCUUCUUAAAUUAAAGAGAGGGAAAGGAAGAGAGAGGGUAUCCUAAAUCAAAUGGAGAAUUUGCUUCAGUGUUCUAAGAGCAAAAGGUCCUGUUAGUCUAUUCUUGUCCAGUCUUUUCCAUGCUCUAAAAAAUGUAUGGGUGCCAUCAAUACCACCUUAAUUUUGUCUCAGUACCCACUGGAAGUGGAUCCAGAUAAACUACUCUUGCCAAUUUGAUGCCGAAAGAAUGCCUUUCUCAUGGUUCCUUAGCUGGUGAGCAGAAGAGAAACAGGAAGUGUAGCAUGUUUUCCUCAAUCCAGUACUCAGUUUGCUAUUUAUUUUGGAAUAUGUAAACUCGUCGUGGAUACACACUCUUUAAUGCUACUUCCUCUCUCCUGAGCUUUCUCCCAACCAGGUGAUUUCCCCCUCCUCACCUUACUUAGAAAACCUGGUUCUUUUACUUAUGCUCAACCAAGAGUUAAGUUCUAUGUAACAUUACAGCCAAAGUUGAGUGCCUGAGAUACUUAUUUAACAGUAAGUUGGAAAAAUGAAUCUUCCUAUCAAAAUCUUAUUGUCAUUUAAUGAACGUCGAUUUUUUUUGUCUGUAUCCCUACUUGUCUCACUUACUUCACGAAUCCUUGCAGAAAGCUUCCUAAAACGUUCAGUACAGCUCCAUUUCCCAUUUAUAUGCAAAAUUAUGGGGACCCGGGAGGAGCCAUUUCAAGAAAGCAACUCUUCUUUAGUCUGGAAUAUUUCCCUCCCCUUUCACAGUAGAAAAACGGGUGUUUCCUGUUUCUCUGAGAAGAAACAAGUCCCUGCCUCUCCCUGGUAUCAUUUUCUUUCUUUUCUCCUUUAUUAUUAUAUGCGCAAAUUAGCAGUGUUUAGUUUCUUGUUUGUUGUCAGCAAUGCUUUGCCCUCCUGAUUGAAGCUUUAUACCUUAAGUGGAAAUUUGACGCCAAAAAUCGAAAGGGAGUCAAGUGGUAAUUCAGAGCAGUGAAGAUGGCUGCUGUGGCUUGUCUGCUGUACGUGUGGGGCGUUGCACCAGGACCCUUUAUUUCAGACAGUAUUUGACAUCAACUGUGCGGACUGAGUGUGGACGGGUGGUGUGGUACUGCAGGCCGCGACAAAAGCCACAGAGCCUAUGUUCCAGAGACAGACAACAAACAAAAUUCAAAACUGCUGGAAGGAGCAUGUUCUGGCACAAAAGUUCUGAAGUGGCAAGAACUUGAUAUGCAUGAAGCUUUUGUUGCUGGAAAAGACCACUAUGGAUACUGAAAUGAUUUGAAAGACGGAGGCACCUGCCAAGACAGUGUGACUCAGAAACAUAAAAAGAAACCUGAUGACCAAGGAGCCUUCAUAACAGCUUUGAAUGAAGACCUUCAGCCCUCUUUCAUAUAAGAGAGAGAAAAAAAUUAUAUUUUUAAGUCAUUUUAUUGAUAGUUUCUUUUAUUUGCAGCUGAAUUCAAUCUCCACUGAUACCAACUGGCUUGAGGAGAGGGGUGAAAAAUCAAGAACUAUUUCUGAAACACUAAGUUGAGGUAUCUAUUAGACAUCCAAAUGGACAUGUCAAAUAAACAACUGAAUAUAGAAAUCUUGUCAUAAAAUGAGAGACCAGCACUGGAGAUAUACAUUUGGGAGCUACUGUUCCCCGACCAGGGAUGGAACCCAUGCUCCUGCAGUGGAGAUGCAGAGUCCUAACCACUGGACCACCAGAGAAUUCCCAGGAAAUCUUAUUCACAUUAUCUUUUUCCCUGACGAUUACAAAUAAAUGAGGUAAAGAGUGGAUACUCUUCAUUAUGACAAGGUUGAGAAAGAAGGAAAUCAUCUGAACCUUCAAUUAUACUUUGAAGCAGACUCAGACUGCAACAACACUCUAUAAACAUUCAAACAUCUAAAGAGGCUAUUAAUAAAUAAUCGCCUGAGAUUUAACAGCAAUAACAACAACAAAAUCCCAAAUGCUCCAUAGCUACAGACCACUCUUCCAGCUCCAGGUAGCCACCUCCAUGAGUAUGCUCCUAUUCAGAGGAACCAGGAGUGUAAAGGAUUUAGCUCAGUGCAACCAUUAAACUCACUGAAAAACAGCUCAAAGCACAUGUCCUAUCAAUGGGUAUCUAUAUUGCCAUUUAUCAUUGCCAGUAUUAUAAUGGAACACACAUCUUGAGAGGCAGCUAAGCCUCAUAGUUCAGAACACAAGUUCUAGAGCCAGACUGAGUAUGAAUUCUGCCUCCACCACUUAUAAGCUAUGACUUUGGGCAAGUUGUUCAACCACUCUGGCCUGCAAAACCAUUAACUGUGAAAAGGAAAUAAUAAUGUGUCUACCUCAGAGAUCUAUAGGGAUUGUGAUGGUUUAUGUGUCAACUUGACUUGCCACAGGGUGCCAAGAUUAAACAUCAUUUCUGGGUAUGCUGUGAGGAUAUCUAGGGAUGAGAUUAGCAUUUGUAUCGGUAGACUCAGUAAAGUAGAUGGUCCUCCCCAAUGUGGGUGGGCAUCACCCAACCCACUGAGGGCCUGAAUAGAACAAAAGGAGGAGGAAGGGGGAAUUCAUCUUCUACUGCCUCGCUACUCUAGCUGGGACAUCAUGUUUCUUCUUCUGCCCUUGAACUGGGAUUUAUACCAUCAGCUCCCCUAUUUCUCAGGUCUUCACAUUGGGUCUGGGUCUCUAGCUUGCAGACAGCAAAUCAUGGGGACUUCUUAGUGUCCAUAAUUGCAUGAUCAAAUUCCUCAUAAUAUGAAACAAAACCAAUAGGAGAUAUAUACCUGGAGAACCCUAAUACAGGGGUUAAUGAGUUAAUACAUGUUAUCUAGCACUUAGAAAGUCCUCAGUAAGUGUUAAUUACCCUCAUUGUUAUUUUCAUUACUAUUACUGUGUAACCCAAAGAGUAGGAACAGCUCAAAGACUUACGAACUUUGUUCUAAGAAAGAAGGACAGUCAGUCAUAAUUAAAUGGAUUCAAGAAAUCAAAACACAUCCUGGAAACCAGGGCUGCUGUGGGGGCUGAGUGUGGAAGAAAGAAUCAGUAUCCAGAAAGGUCUUCCCCAUGACUUCCUGGUCUUUAAAGGAGAUAUUCUACUAGCAGUAAGCCCAUCCCAACUCUUUCUUGUGCACAGUGGGAAAAGAUAUGGGAAACCUCAGUGAGACGUCUCUAACCACUAUCCACAUAAAAGGAGAGAAAAACACUGUGAGGCUGAGAAGUAACACCUUGAGGCCAGGUGGUGUGAGAGAUGUAUGAUGAUGAGUGAGCAAUGGGACAGAGGACCCAGGUGAGGCCACUGGAGGACAACCUGGCCACAUAUUCAGAGUCUUGCUUCCUGCUAACAACUUUAAGGAGUUUUAACAAUAUUCUGUCAAACUUACGCCAUCUCCUCUGUGAGCAGCUCCCUGCUCCCAACUCCCCACCCCCACCCCUAGGUGAUGGCAGAUGCCUCAAGCUUUUCAUGGGUAGCUAAGGGAUGUAAGGCCAACCUCACUAUCUGCUUGAGUUUCUGACUCUACUAUGCAACUUCUGCCAAAGAUUUCAGGGUAAGACUUAUGGUAGGGAAAAAUACCGCCUCAGGAGGGAAACUGCAAGGUGUGCAGACUUAAUGAAGUUUGACUUUCACUAAAGGUAGGGAAAAUGGGGAAUUUGGGUGAUUGAUUUGUUUUCAAGCACUUAGGACACAAUACUCUCCUUGGUUAUAUAUUACCGAAAGGACUCAUAACCAAUGGAAGGUGAAGGGCAGAAGUCCUGGUUCUCACCCAGCAUCUGAUAAAGGUCUCCCUUUUGGGCUCAUAAUGACAGAACAUCUCGUGAAUAUUUAAAAGGAAACACCUUUUUGGAUACAGAUUCAAAUAAAUGACCUUAUUGUACAACAAUGAACUCUUCUUUGCCAGGACCCCCUCCUCCUCCUCCCUGCUUCCCAUAUACUUCCAGGUUCUUUUGUAGGCACUGAUCCAUGUCACAGUUUUGAAUAUAUAUAUGUGUAUAUAUAUAUAUACACACAUAUACAUACACACACACAUAUAUCCAGCUUUUUCCUGAGUGGGGUUGAGAGGGUAGGCAUGGGGUAAAAAUAAUACACCUUUAUCUUUCUUUACAAAUUGUAAAUUAACUCAAUUUUCUAAGCUUCCCCCCCACCCCACCCCUUUUCUGUCUGUAUCAACACAGAACUUGUUUAGCCAGAGGAGUUUGUUGUGGUGAGACUGUCAAAUAUAUGAAUAGACUGUUGUCAAACAGCCUUGAAAAAACAAGUAUUUGUUCACCAUAUGAAAGCACAUUCAUACAAACCUCUAUCAAAUCACUGAGCAAAUACUCUUAAAAUCUGUAGUGGGAUAGAUGUUCUACAUCAAGUUUACAACAAAACAACAACAAAAAACUCAAAAUGUAUUAUACACGAGGCACCAUGCUUAGCAUUGAUGUGGACACAAAGGUAUGCAAAACCUGUACUGUCUAGGUAUACAGUAAAGCUAUGAACUUGGGCCAUUUGCUUAAUGUCUCCUGGUGGGCUUCAGUUUUACUUUCUUACAACAGGACCGAACUGACACACCUCUGUGGUUGUAUCUACCCUUAAAAUCAACCUAACUAGAAUGGUCAAACAUAUACACAGGAAAUUUAGCCAAUAAUGUAAAAAUACAAAGAAUGUUAAGUGUGUGACAAGUGUUAUUGCUCCUAUACGAGUUCAGAGGAAAGAGUUCACUGCAGGCUGAGUGUUGCAGGGAAGGCUUCCAGGAGGAGGGAGGACCUCACCUGGACACUGAAGACAGAGUAGGCAGAGUAGGCAUGAAGACAGGAUAGGGAGUUCUAUCAGUAACUUGGCAGCGCAUUUGUGGGUGGUAAAGACUGGAUGCGAUAACAUGAAAAGGAAGUUUUAUUGAGAGCACAAGGUAGGUUUGGGGAAAUGUAUUGCAGUUUGACUAUGAUUCAUCCAUUCUCCACUUUUCUUUUGUAUGAAAAAUCUCAAACUAAAACAUGCAGUGCUCUGUGGGAUAAAAUCAUUCUGGCAAUGCUAUUAAUUUAUUUUUGUAAUUUUCUAAUUGUAUUAUGUAUUUAAUAGAAUAUAAAACUGAAAAAUCAGCUUUCAUAACAUUUUCCAAUUUGGAUUUUUUCAUACAGUAAAAAAAAUGCUAGCUUUAUAUAUUAAUAAACCAUCUUAAAGUACUGGACAAUACUAAACAUCAAAUGAAAAAUAACUAAAAAUAAUUUUGUAAAAUAUUAUUAGUCUGCCAAUCAACAAAUGUUCAUUUGGCACCUACUACAUGCUAGGCUCCAUGGCAGGAGCUGGGGCAGAUACGAAUAAAUGCGUUCUGGCUGGAAUAAGAAACACUGAUUUGAAAUGCUGAAGAGGGUGUGGAGAAAAGGGAACCUUCCUGCACUGCUGGUGGGAAUGUAGCUGGUGCAGCUACUGUGGAAAACAGUAUGGACAUUCCCGAGGAAACUAAAAAUAGAAUUACCAUAUGAUCCAGCAAUCACACUCCUGGGCAUAUAUACAGACAAAACUACAGUUCAAAAAGAUACAUGCACCCCUAUGUUCACAGCAGUACUAUUCACAAUAGCCAAGACAGGGAAAUGACCUAAAUGUCCAUCGACAGAUGAAUGGAUAAAGAAGAUGUGGUAUAUACACAUAUACAAUGAAAUACUACUCAGCCAUAAAAAAGAAUGAAAUAAUGCCAUUUGCAGCAACAUGGAUGGAUCUAGAGACUAUCAUACUAUGUGAAGUAAGUCAGAAAGAGAAAGACAAAUACCAUAUGAUAUCACUUAUAUGUGGAAUCUAAAAUAUGACACAAAUGAACCUAUCUAUGAAACAGAAACAAAAUCAGGGACAUAGAGAAGAGACUAGUGGUUGCCAAGGGGGAGGGGGUGGGAGAGGGAUGGAUUGGAAAUUUGGGAUUAGCAGAUGCAAACUAGUAUAUAUAAAAUGCAUUAAACAACAAGGUCCUACUUUAUACCACAGGGAACUAUAUUCAACAUCCUGUGAUAAACCAUAAUGGAAAAGAAUAUGAAGAAAAAUGUAUGUAUGUACAACUAAGUCACUCUGCUGCACAGCAGUAAUUAACACAACAUUGUAAAUCAACUAUACUUCAACAAAAUAAAAUAAGGUGUACAUAACAAAACCUGGUGCUCUGAAUCUGAUGUCUUGCAUUUCCUCUAGGGGAGGUCUCUAAAAGAGUGAAAUGACCUUAUACGUAAUAGAACUUGGAUAUUUAUGUUCCAACACAUAAUUUUCACUUGUGGGACAAAAUGGCUCUGUAAGAAUAUGUUUAUUUUUUGAAUCUAUUUCCUCUUUUAUUAUGCAAACUUUGAAGUGAUAUUUCAUAAAGUUUCUGCCUUCUCAAAUUUCAAGGCAUAUCUCCUCAUUCACAUGUGCCAAAAUUUGAUGAAAGUUAAUUAUUUCUGUGUAUC